rnacentral:rRNA from 1 species
AACGAACGCUGGCGGCAGGCUUAACACAUGCAAGUUGAACGGGAUUUAGCUUGUGCUUGCACGAGCUAAUGAGAGUAGCGCACUGGUGAGUAACACGUGGGAACGUACAUUUUAGUGGGGGACAACAGAGGGAAACUUCUGCUAAUACCGCAUACGCCCUGAGGGGGAAAGAUUUAUCGCUAAGAUAUCGGCCCGCGGCAGAUUAGGUAGUUGGUGGGGUAAAGGCCUACCAAGCCUACGAUCUAUAGCUGGUCUGAGAGGACGAUCAGCCACAUUGGAACUGAGACACGGUCCAGACUCC